rnacentral:lncRNA from 1 species
CGGCUCGCCCCGAACGGGCCUUGCACGCUCGCCUCCACGUGUGCAAGGGCACACGGCGCCCAGCAAGCCUUGCACUGUGCCCCGAAGCCUUGCACGCGCCUCGCACACACGACACCCAGCGAGCCUUGCACGCGCUGGAGCGGUGCACACUCAGCGCAUGAAGCUUGCACGCUCACCUCUCCUCGUGCCACCUCACACUUGGCAUGAUGGCUCGGUGGCUUUGCACGCUCACCAGCAGUUGUGCAAGCUCACACCGCACCUGGGGGCUUUGCACGCAAAGACCUAGAACCUUGCACGUUCACCUCUACUUGCACAAACUCCCGCUCUGCACUAAAGCUCGUCGGCUUUGCACGCUCACCAACAGUCGUGCAAGCUCACCCUUUGCCCGGGAGCCUUGCACAUGCACCCCUACAGCCUUACACACUCAUCUCCAGUCGUGCACGCUCACACGGCCUCAGAGCUGCGCACGCUCACUCACCUCCGCUCGUGCAAGCCGACACUUCCCCUCAGAGCCUCGCACCCUCGAGCCUUGCACGCUCACCAGCAGCUGUGCACGCUCCCGCUCAGCCCUGGAGCUUUGCACGCUCAUUGCACGCUCACGGCGCUCCCCUCAGGUCAGCGCACGCGCCUCCUCACACCUGUGCACCCUCAGUGCAAGCCCCGUGCACGCUCACUACCUGCCCGGCACGCUCAGCGCCAGCUGUGCAAGCUCCCUGCAAUCCCUGCACUCACCGUCACCCCGAGAGCCUUGCACGCUCACCGCCAGCCUUGCACGCUCACCGCCAGGUGUGCACGCUCCAUAGCAACCGUGCACGCUCAGC